GGUCAAGUCAGUUAACAGUGUUGUUCAGCAAAUUAAACAUUCAAAUUUAAACUCAGAGCAUAGGGAUGAUGACAUGUUCAUUGCUUACCCAGGAGAAUUGCGAUACAUUGACUUUGAAGGAGUUUUCACAGUGGUUGAGGGGGUUUCAGGUCUCUAAUGCAUCACCCCUCAGUUGACAGGAAGCUAUCUCUACUUAGUGCCCCACUGCUUAACACUCCCUAUGCCUGGUCAAUAGAUGAAGUUCAAGUCCCCUUAGCUCACCUCCAGGUUGCUAUGUGACCAACUUACCUGGAUAUCUUUAGCCCUCAUCAUCCCCACCCACCUCCCCUGCACAGAGACCACUGUCCUGAUCUUUUAAAUGACUCAUAGGUCUCUGCAUGCCUGUGUUUCUCUCUCUUCUAGGUCUUUGCAUAGGCUUUUUGUCUUCCUGGACGGACUUUCUCAUAAGAGUACACCUCAUCUUUCAAAAGCCUGCUUAGUAGAGCCUUCUAUGAUGCUCCCUAUAAAGAAUGAAUCUUUUCACUCUUUCCCGGGAGUACUUUGUAAAUAUCCCAUUGCAGAACUUCAGCAGAUAAGCCAAGGGAAUCUCCACUAUGUGCAGGGCACUGUGCCAGGGGCUAGGACUCACAGAUGAGGAAACUGAGCUAUGCAGUCAGCUUGGAAGUUGGAGAACCAGGAUUGGAGUUCAGGAGGUCUCACUCUCAGCCCUGUGCUCUGCUGGACGAGCUUUUCUUAAUUGAAGGAUUGAAGCAUUUUAUAUCUAUUGCAUCAAGAGAAACCCAGGCCUCCUGUAAAACGGACCUAACUCCGCUGCCUCCUAUUUCCCAUUAUAAUCCAUGAAGGAUUUAUUAUUCUUGCACUCACUGGCUGAGUGACGUCGGGGUGACAUUCUUCUCUCAAGGUUUUGGGGAUACAGGAGGUGAGAGAAGAGUUUAUUCCUGAAUCAUGGAAAUGAACACACUGAAAUCAGAUCUUCCUUCCUGGUGUGGAUUUGUUCCCAGGUGUCAGUCUGCAGAGUUGGGUCACCGACCAGCUGCAAUGCUGUACAGGUUGUAUUUUUUUCUUUGCAACAUUUGGUGGAACGUUUGGGGCUGGGGUGAGGGGAGGAUUAUCUGAACCAGAUGUUUAGGGGCUAUCUAUCUGACACAAUUGAGGAAUUAGUUUUAAGUGAUUAUCCAUGUGACCAGUCUUGGAGCACUCACCUUUCUGGGCCGGGAAAGCAGGGCUUGGCUGGCUACAUUCUAAGGAGAAGAAGCAAGGAGUGUUGAGGACUGUGUGCAUGGAUAUACUUGUGCUUGGAGACUGUUUCCAGAAGAUAGUUCAUGAGUCAAGUAAAAGCAACUACAAGGGGUUCCCCAGAAGAGGGGUCUCAGAUAACUCUGAAGAGACCUAGAGCCAGCGUGACUGAGGAAUUGUAAACUGAUUCUAUGUGCUAAGGAUAGCACAGACUUACAGGAAAGUCACUCUUAGGAGGCAACUACUGAUGGCUAAAGAGGGUCCUGCAGGAAAAGCUACUGAGAAUGAACCUGGAUGCUGAACAUGCCAGCUGAAGGGGUGUGGUUAGGUGGCAGUCAAAGGCCACCUAUCCUGCUACCCUCUCAACCUUACAUAGUCCCUAUAGCCUUGGUUCAAUGUGAAACUCAAGUUGUGCUUAAGAUACCGGGGAGAGAGGGGUAGGGAAUCCUAUAUUGACUGAUAUGAGCCUCAUGGUGUGAAUAGGGGCUUUGAAUAAAAGCUACAUAGAAUUCUACAAGAGAAAGGCACAUUUCUUGCAUACAUGGAUUCCUGUCUUUCGAUUUGCAUCUGCAACAAAAAUGAGUAAAAUGAAGUGAGAGAGUUGCAGUGGCUGGAAGUCCCAGGGGGGUGUUUCAGGAACACUAAAGAUGGAAAGGCGUCACAGACAAGGCCAAAAUCAAGAUUAAAAGAUGUUUCCUGACUUU